rnacentral:rRNA from 1 species
UACAGGGGGUGCAAGCGUUAUUCGGAAUUAUUGGGCGUAAAGAGCGUGUAGGCGGUUCAGCAAGUUUGGUGUGAAAUCCCCGGGCUUAAUCCGGGAAGUGCAUUGAAUACUGCUAGACUAGAGUAUAGGAGAGGAUGGCGGAAUUCCUGGUGUAGAGGUGAAAUUCGUAGAUAUCAGGAGGAACAACAGAGGCGAAGGCGGCCAUCUGGACUAUUACUGACGCUAAGGCGCGAAAGUGUGGGGAGCAAAC